AAACGUUUUGAGGGAGAGGCAAACCAUUUAACUCUGUCAACUGCAGAGUUUCUUCUUGACAGUGACAUGUUCCUAGCGGCAGGAAGGAUGAUUGGCCAUUCAUUCCCACAUGGUGGUCCCUGUUUAGCUGGUCUACGUCUUGCAUUGGUUCCUGUCCUCCUGUGGGAGGAACACCACAAACUUCAGCAAUCCACGCUAAUGACUGCUCUGAUAUUGACAUUCACACCACUAUCCAGUUGCUGGAGGGCACUGCUGAGUGAACAUCAGACCAAAGGAAAGAUGGGCGUGGCCUUGCCUGGUCCUGGGAUCUUCCUGAUGUCAUUG